rnacentral:rRNA from 1 species
GUGAGUAACACGUGGAUAACCUACCUAUAAGACUGGGAUAACUUCGGGAAACCGGAGCUAAUACCGGAUAACAUAUUGAACCGCAUGGUUCAAUAGUGAAAGGCGGCUUUGCUGUCACUUAUAGAUGGAUCCGCGCCGUAUUAGCUAGUUGGUAAGGUAACGGCUUACCAAGGCAACGAUACGUAGCCGACCUGAGAGGGUGAUCGGCCACACUGGAACUGAGACACGGUCCAGACUCCUACGGGAGGCAGCAGUAGGGAAUCUUCCGCAAUGGGCGAAAGCCUGACGGAGCAACGCCGCGUGAGUGAUGAAGGUCUUCGGAUCGUAAAACUCUGUUAUCAGGGAAGAACAAAUGUGUAAGUAACUGUGCACAUCUUGACGGUACCUGAUCAGAAAGCCACGGCUAACUACGUGCCAGCAGCCGCGGUAAUACGUAGGUGGCAAGCGUUAUCCGGAAUUAUUGGGCGUAAAGCGCGCGUAGGCGGUUUUUUAAGUCUGAUGUGAAAGCCCACGGCUCAACCGUGGAGGGUCAUUGGAAACUGGAAAACUUGAGUGCAGAAGAGGAAAGUGGAAUUCCAUGUGUAGCGGUGAAAUGCGCAGAGAUAUGGAGGAACACCAGUGGCGAAGGCGACUUUCUGGUCUGUAACUGACGCUGAUGUGCGAAAGCGUGGGGAUCAAACAGGAUUAGAUACCCUGGUAGUCCACGCCGU